rnacentral:snRNA from 1 species
GUGCUCGCUUUGGCAGCACAUAUACUAAAACUGGAACGAUACAGAGAAGAUUAGCAUGGCUCCUGUGCAAGGAUGACACGCAAAUUUGUGAAGCGUUCCAUAUUUUU